CUGAAAUCAUCAAUCAGCUCCAGCAGCAGAAAGAAAAAGCAGAGAAACUGAAGAAUCAGUUCAAAUCCAAAUGUCACGAGAUGAUCAACUCUGAGAAGGAUGGAAUCAUUCAGAAACUGAUGGAAAUAUUUCCUGCACUGGAAUCAGAGUUAGAGAAGAAAACUGAAAUCAUCAAACAGCUCAAGCAGGUGAAAGACAGAGUAGAGAAACUGAAGAAGGAGCUGGAGAAGAA